GAGGGUGCAGCUGCUGUCCCUGGCCUCGGCGCCCUUGUCCCUCGGUGCUGUCAGAGUGCUGUGGGCGUCCUGGCCGUACGUGUCUGGGUGCUGGCUGCAGUCCUGGCAUGGAGGGAGGCUGAGGCAGAAGGGUUGCACAUUGAACCCCCGGGGACAGCUUAGCAAGACCCUGUCUCAAAAACUAAACAGGGCUGUGGGUGUAGCUCAGUGGUUAGAGCACCCCUGGGUUCAAGUCCCAGUCUCGCCCCCCCAAAACGGUGCCAAACCGGGCCUGUCACUCUGUGGACGGUCAGACCCCAGCAGCUCGCUGUGUCUCCGGGAGAGCCUCCUCCCGGCAGGUAGGUCCCGGGCAUCCGGGCCAGCUGGAGUCGGCUGACAGCCCAUUUGGAGCCCAAAGACAGAAGGACGAUGCUGGGCAGUUCAUGAGGCGCUGUGGGCCUCACCGCCCUGGCCCGUGCCUGUCUCCUGGGCCCAGGGAAACCUGGGGAAUUCCACCGCCCAGCUUUCAGCUUCUCCUCUCCGUUUGAAACAAGUCCCCGGACAGGUUAGCUGCGAGGAACCGGAACCAAAGCCCUGGCCAAGCCAGAAUGGUGCCGAAGGGUCCAGCGUCUGCUCCUUUCUGACAAGUCUGCCCCUGCUGCAGCCGCACGUGCUGCUCCUGUCACGGGUGCACGGUGCUUAGUGCACAUCCCAGCUGCGUGCCCCAGCUCGAGUGUCCUGCGGCCGAAGCGGCAGCUCUGGAGGGAUGUGCGCCUCACCCGCGUGACACCGCAGGACCCGGGUGAGGUUGGCGGCCAGGCCUCAGACUCCGUGUGUGGGACAUGUGCUGUCCGGGAGCCAGAAGCUGACCUUCCUGAAGGCUCCUGCUUAUCUGAUUUCAUCCCUGGAGCAGCCAUGUGACACAGCCGUGAUUUCCCUCUCGUCACUGAAGGAGCUGUAGUUAUUAAGUGACCUAGCCAAGGUCAUGCGCAGGGUAAGUGCAGUUGCUGAUAUUUAAAUCCAGGCAUUUCUGAGUUCAAAACCAGUGCUUCCCUCAGCGUUUGGAGUAAAGUCUGAAAUGUUUGUGAGCCGAGGCCCUCUGAGAACUGACAUGAGCCAGAGUGAAGGGCGGACACCCAGGGACCUGGUUUCCAGGUGCCCAGGGGUGGCCGAGGGAGUUCCCUUCUGGAGAGGCAGGGCUGUGAUGGGUACCCACUGGUG
rnacentral:lncRNA from 1 species